CACGGGGGGGGCAAGCGUUGUUCGGAAUUACUGGGCGUAAAGGGCGCGUAGGCGGCCAGCACAAGUCAGUUGUGAAAUCUCCGGGCUUAACUCGGAAAGGUCAACUGAUACUGUGCGGCUAGAGUGCAGAAGGGGCAACUGGAAUUCUCGGUGUAGCGGUGAGAUGCGUAGAUAUCGAGAGGAACACCUGCGGCGAAGGCGGGUUGCUGGGCUGACACUGACGCUGAUGCGCGAAAGCCAGGGGAGCGAACGGG
rnacentral:rRNA from 1 species